GCUCACCUUUGCAGAGUGUCAGCUACACUGGGGUUCAUUUAAACGCAGCAGAACCCCUGAUGCUGUGGGGAUGUCACCUCACAAUCGAAGUGUAUGUGACAAGUACCCCUAGUGUCAGGAGGUAAUCUGGGGUUGUGUGUAUCCAGUGGGUUUCCCCAGAGCCUCCAGCACGAAUGUUCUAGCCGCUGAUCUUUCUUGGUGGGGUACUCUGAGCUCUGGAAAACCUGGGGUCAGCCGUGUUUCAUGCCAUUUGUUUCCCUUGUAGUUAGAUGUGGGGCAGAAAGAAAGAUGAGGCGGGAGAAGAUGUCGGAUGAAGAUGCUGGGAAUGGAUAAGGAGGGGAGCAAGAAAGCCAAGGAGAUAAGACUUCUCUUAUAGCUCUUGGCUGCUGUUUUUAAUUUUUAAUUUUUAUUAACAUUUCUGAAUGGUUUUAAUUUGCUUUUUAAUUUUUUUCUCACUUUUAGUUUUUAUAAUUGGUAAUUUGCAUUCUGUGGCAAGAGCAGGGACAUGAAACAUGAGUAAGUCUGUCAUAAGGAACUUUGUCUACUGUGAAAUACAGAUGAGAGCCCAAUACGAUGGGGAAAAGGUUCCCAUGGUGCACAUUUGCACUUGGAAUUCUUCCAGGGGAAUCCAGUCUCAGGAUCACAAAA